rnacentral:rRNA from 1 species
UGGGGGAUUUUGCACAAUGGGCGCAAGCCUGAUGCAGCGACGCCGCGUGAGGGAUGAAGGCCUUCGGGUUGUAAACCUCUUUCGCUGGGUUGAAAGGCCAUGCUUUGGGUGUGGUUGAUUUGAACUGGUAAAGAAGUACCGGCUAACUACGUGCCAGCAGCCGCGGUAAUACGUAGGGUACUAGCGUUGUCCGGAUUUAUUGGGCGUAAAGGGCUUGUAGGUGGUUUGUCGCGUCUGUCGUGAAAUCCUGUGGCUUAACCAUGGGCUUGCGGUGGGUACGGGCAGGCUUGAGUGCGGUAGGGGAGACUGGAAUUCCUGGUGUAGCGGUGGAAUGCGCAGAUAUCAGGAGGAACACCGGUGGCGAAGGCGGGUCUCUGGGCCGUUACUGACGCUGAGGAGCGAAAGCGUGGGGAGCGAACAGG